UGAAGAAUAUUGGUCAAUGGGCGCAAGCCUGAACCAGCCAUGCCGCGUGCAGGAAGACGGUCCUAUGGAUUGUAAACUGCUUUUAUACAGGAAGAAACCCUCCCACGUGUGGGAGAUUGACGGUACUGUAGGAAUAAGGAUCGGCUAACUCCGUGCCAGCAGCCGCGGUAAUACGGAGGAUCCAAGCGUUAUCCGGAAUCAUUGGGUUUAAAGGGUCCGUAGGCGGUCUUAUAAGUCAGUGGUGAAAUCCCAUCGCUCAACGAUGGAACUGCCAUUGAUACUGUAAGACUUGAAUACUUAGGAAGUAACUAGAAUAUGUAGUGUAGCGGUGAAAUGCUUAGAUAUUACAUGGAAUACCAAUUGCGAAGGCAGGUUACUACUAAGU
rnacentral:rRNA from 1 species